rnacentral:rRNA from 1 species
GGGUUGUGAGGUUAAGCGACUAAGCGUACACGGUGGAUGCCCUGGCAGUCAGAGGCGAUGAAGGACGUGCUAAUCUGCGAAAAGCGCCGGCGAGGUGAUAUGAACCCUUGACCCGGCGAUGUCCGAAUGGGGAAACCCAGUGCAAUCCGUUGCACUAUCGUUAACUGAAUACAUAGGUUAACGAGGCGAACCGGGGGAACUGAAACAUCUAAGUACCCCGAGGAAAAGAAAUCAACCGAGAUUCCCCCAGUAGCGGCGAGCGAACGGGGAGCAGCCCGGAGUCUGAAUCAGCUUGUGUGUUAGUGGAACGGUCUGGAAAGUCCGACGGUACAGGGUGAUAGUCCCGUACACGAAAGCACACUUGCUGUGAACUCGAAGAGUAGGGCGGGACACGUGGUAUCCUGUCUGAAUAUGGGGGGACCAUCCUCCAAGGCUAAAUACUCCUGACUGACCGAUAGUGAACCAGUACCGUGAGGGAAAGGCGAAAAGAACCCCGGCGAGGGGAGUGAAAAAGAACCUGAAACCGUGUACGUACAAGCAGUGGGAGCCUCUUUAUGGGGUGACUGCGUACCUUUUGUAUAAUGGGUCAGCGACUUAUAUUCUGUAGCAAGGUUAACCGUAUAGGGGAGCCGAAGGGAAACCGAGUCUUAACUGGGCGUUAAGUUGCAGGGUAUAGACCCGAAACCCGGUGAUCUAGCCAUGGGCAGGUUGAAGGUUGGGUAACACUAACUGGAGGACCGAACCGACUAAUGUUGAAAAAUUAGCGGAUGACCUGUGGCUGGGGGUGAAAGGCCAAUCAAACCGGGAGAUAGCUGGUUCUCCCCGAAAGCUAUUUAGGUAGCGCCUCGUGAACUCAUCUUCGGGGGUAGAGCACUGUUUCGGCUAGGGGGCCAUCCCGGCUUACCAACCCGAUGCAAACUACGAAUACCGAAGAAUGUUAUCACGGGAGACACACGGCGGGUGCUAACGUCCGUCGUGAAGAGGGAAACAACCCAGACCGCCAGCUAAGGUCCCAAAGUCAUGGUUAAGUGGGAAACGAUGUGGGAAGGCACAGACAGCCAGGAUGUUGGCUUAGAAGCAGCCAUCAUUUAAAGAAAGCGUAAUAGCUCACUGGUCGAGUCGGCCUGCGCGGAAGAUGUAACGGGGCUAAACCAUGCACCGAAGCUGCGGCAGCGACACUAUGUGUUGUUGGGUAGGGGAGCGUUCUGUAAGCCGUUGAAGGUGGCCUGUGAGGGUUGCUGGAGGUAUCAGAAGUGCGAAUGCUGACAUAAGUAACGAUAAAGCGGGUGAAAAGCCCGCUCGCCGGAAGACCAAGGGUUCCUGUCCAACGUUAAUCGGGGCAGGGUGAGUCGACCCCUAAGGCGAGGCCGAAAGGCGUAGUCGAUGGGAAACAGGUUAAUAUUCCUGUACUUGGUGUUACUGCGAAGGGGGGACGGAGAAGGCUAUGUCAGCCGGGCGACGGUUGUCCCGGUUUAAGCAUGUAGGCGGAGGUUCCAGGUAAAUCCGGUACCUUAUUAACGCUGAGGUGUGAUGACGAGGCACUACGGUGCUGAAGUGAUAAAUGCCCUGCUUCCAGGAAAAGCCUCUAAGCAUCAGGUAACACGAAAUCGUACCCCAAACCGACACAGGUGGUCAGGUAGAGAAUACCAAGGCGCUUGAGAGAACUCGGGUGAAGGAACUAGGCAAAAUGGUGCCGUAACUUCGGGAGAAGGCACGCUGAUGUGUAGGUGAAGCCCCUGCGGGCGGAGCUGAAAUCAGUCGAAGAUACCAGCUGGCUGCAACUGUUUAUUAAAAACACAGCACUGUGCAAACACGAAAGUGGACGUAUACGGUGUGACGCCUGCCCGGUGCCGGAAGGUUAAUUGAUGGGGUUAGCGGCAACGCGAAGCUCUUGAUCGAAGCCCCGGUAAACGGCGGCCGUAACUAUAACGGUCCUAAGGUAGCGAAAUUCCUUGUCGGGUAAGUUCCGACCUGCACGAAUGGCGUAAUGAUGGCCAGGCUGUCUCCACCCGAGACUCAGUGAAAUUGAACUCGCUGUGAAGAUGCAGUGUACCCGCGGCAAGACGGAAAGACCCCGUGAACCUUUACUAUAGCUUGACACUGAACACUGGUCCUUGAUGUGUAGGAUAGGUGGGAGGCUUUGAAGCGUGGACGCCAGUCUGCGUGGAGCCAACCUUGAAAUACCACCCUUUAAUGGCUGGUGUUCUAACGUAGACCCGUAAUCCGGGUUGCGGACAGUGUCUGGUGGGUAGUUUGACUGGGGCGGUCUCCUCCCAAAGAGUAACGGAGGAGCACGAAGGUUGGCUAAUCCUGGUCGGACAUCAGGAGGUUAGUGCAAUGGCAUAAGCCAGCUUGACUGCGAGCGUGACGGCGCGAGCAGGUGCGAAAGCAGGUCAUAGUGAUCCGGUGGUUCUGAAUGGAAGGGCCAUCGCUCAACGGAUAAAAGGUACUCCGGGGAUAACAGGCUGAUACCGCCCAAGAGUUCAUAUCGACGGCGGUGUUUGGCACCUCGAUGUCGGCUCAUCACAUCCUGGGGCUGAAGUAGGUCCCAAGGGUAUGGCUGUUCGCCAUUUAAAGUGGUACGCGAGCUGGGUUUAGAACGUCGUGAGACAGUUCGGUCCCUAUCUGCCGUGGGCGCUGGAGAAUUGAGGGGGGCUGCUCCUAGUACGAGAGGACCGGAGUGGACGCAUCACUGGUGUUCGGGUUGUCAUGCCAAUGGCACUGCCCGGUAGCUAAAUGCGGAAGAGAUAAGUGCUGAAAGCAUCUAAGCACGAAACUUGCCCCGAGAUGAGUUCUCCCUGAGACCUUGAGUCUCCUGAAGGAACGUUGAAGACGACGACGUUGAUAGGUCGGGUGUGUAAGCGCAGCGAUGCGUUGAGCUAACCGAUACUAAUGAACCGUGAGGCUUAACCUUACAACGCCGAAGGUGUUU